rnacentral:rRNA from 1 species
AGUGAACGCUAGCGGUAGGCCUAACUCAUGCAAGUCGAACGGCAGCACAGUAAGAGCUUGCUCUUACGGGUGGCGAGUGGCGGACGGGUGAGGAAUACAUCGGAAUCUACUUUUUCGUGGGGGAUAACGUAGGGAAACUUACGCUAAUACCGCAUACGACCUACGGGUGAAAGCAGGGGAUCUUCGGACCUUGCGCGAUUGAAUGAGCCGAUGUCGGAUUAGCUAGUUGGCGGGGUAAAGGCCCACCAAGGCGACGAUCCGUAGCUGGUCUGAGAGGAUGAUCAGCCACACUGGAACUGAGACACGGUCCAGACUCCUACGGGAGGCAGCAGUGGGGAAUAUUGGACAAUGGGCGCAAGCCUGAUCCAGCCAUACCGCGUGGGUGAAGAAGGCCUUCGGGUUGUAAAGCCCUUUUGUUGGGAAAGAAAAGCAGCAGGUUAAUACCCCGCUGUUCUGACGGUACCCAAAGAAUAAGCACCGGCUAACUUCGUG